rnacentral:rRNA from 1 species
AUACGUAGGUCCCGAGCGUUGUCCGGAUUUAUUGGGCGUAAAGCGAGCGCAGGCGGUUUCUUAAGUCUGAUGUGAAAGCCCUCGGCUUAACCGAGGAAGUGCAUCGGAAACUGGGAAACUUGAGUGCAGAAGAGGGCAGUGGAACUCCAUGUGUAGCGGUGAAAUGCGUAGAUAUAUGGAAGAACACCAGUGGCGAAGGCGGCUGUCUGGUCUGUAACUGACGCUGAGGCUCGAAAGCAUGGGUAGC